CCUACGGGGGGCAGCAGUGGGGAAUAUUGCGCAAUGGGCGAAAGCCUGACGCAGCGACGCCGCGUGAGGGAUGAAGGUCUUCGGAUCGUAAACCUCUGUCAGCAGGGAAGAACGGUCACUGUGCUAAUCAGCAGUGAAUUGACGGUACCUGCAAAGGAAGCACCGGCUAACUCCGUGCCAGCAGCCGCGGUAAUACGGAGGGGGCGAGCGUUAAUCGGGAGUACGGGGCGUAAAGCGCCCGUAGGCGGUAUGGCAAGUCAAGGGUGAAGUCCCCGCGCUGAACGUGGGAACUGCCUUUGAAACUGGCAAACGGGAGGGUGUGAGAGGAGAGUGGAAUUCCAGGUGUAGGGGUGAA
rnacentral:rRNA from 1 species